GAUGAACGCUGGCGGCGUGCCUAAUACAUGCAAGUCGAGCGAACAGAUGAGGAGCUUGCUCCUCUGACGUUAGCGGCGGACGGGUGAGUAACACGUGGAUAACCUACCUAUAAGGCUGGGAUAACUUCGGGAAACCGGAGCUAAUACCGGAUAAUAUAUUGAACCGCAUGGUUCAAUAGUGAAAGACGGUUUUGCUGUCACUUAUAGAUGGAUCCGCGCCGCAUUAGCUAGUUGGUAAGGUAACGGCUUACCAAGGCGACGAUGCGUAGCCGACCUGAGAGGGUGAUCGGCCACACUGGAACUGAGACACGGUCCAGACUCCUACGGGAGGCAGCAGUAGGGAAUCUUCCGCAAUGGGCGAAAGCUUGACGGAGCAACGCCGCGUGAGUGAUGAAGGUCUUCGGAUCGUAAAACUCUGUUAUUAGGGAAGAACAAAUGUGUAAGUAACUAUGCACGUCUUGACGGUACCUAAUCAGAAAGCCACGGCUAACUACGUG
rnacentral:rRNA from 1 species